GAUGAAGAACGUAGCGAAAUGCGAUAAGUAAUGUGAGUUGCAGAAUUCAGUGAAUCAUCGAAUCUUUGAACGCACAUUGCGCCCGCCAGUAUUCUGGCGGGCAUGCCUGUCUGAGCGUCAUUUCAACCCUCAUGCCCCUAGGGCGUGGUGUUGGGGAUCGGCCAAAGCCCGCGAGGGACGGCCGGCCCCUAAAUCUAGUGGCGGACCCGUCGUGGCCUCCUCUGCGAAGUAGUGAUAUUCCGCAUCGGAGAGCGAUGAGCCCCUGCCGUUAAACCCCCAACUUUCCAAGGUUGACCUCAGAUCAGGUAGGAAUACCCGCUGAACUUAAGCAUAUCAAUAAGCGGAGGA
rnacentral:misc_RNA from 1 species